rnacentral:lncRNA from 10 species
GACAGCUUUUGAAAGAUUUAACAACUGGCAGCAAGAAAAACUUCCAUAGAAUCUCUUCUCUGAAAUUUUUUCUGCUGGAAAAAAGGGCAUCACUUAGCAGGCGUAAAUGUCUCAGUCACUGACUAUAAGUACAAAGGGCCCAGAAGCUGGAAUCUGAAGACAAACAUGGCUCCACUACAUUUUACUCUCAUUGCCUUGGGAAACAUUACUUAAACCAGAAGAAUCUAUUGCCCUCUUUACUUCACAGUGCUACAGAGAGGAUUACAUGAGCCAAUAUUUG